CAGGUACANCGGGAAGCCAGGCGGCGACGCCGAGCGGAACCCGAAAACCUAGUCUCAGUUCGGAUCGGAGUCUGCAACCCGACUCCGUGAAGCUGGAUUCGCUAGUAAUCGCGCAUCAGCCAUGGCGCGGUGAAUACGUUCCCGGGCCUUGUACACACCGCCCGUCAAGCCAUGGAAGCCGGGGGUGCCUGAAGUGUGCAGCCGCAAGGAGCGCCCUAAGGUAAAACCGGUGACUGGGGCUAAGUCGUAACAAGGUAGC
rnacentral:rRNA from 1 species